rnacentral:rRNA from 1 species
AUGGCGGAGCAAGACCGCAAUGGGCGGGCGGCGGCGGCAGAGUCGUCGGUGCCGUUGCUGGAGAAGAAGGCGGACGGCGUGCUGUACGUGGAGGGCUGCCCCGGGUGCGCGGUGGACCGGCGGAAGGCGGCCAACCCGGGCAUCCCCUACGGCACCUUCAUCUACGUCUGGACCGUCACCCUCUGCACCGCUUUACCAAUAUCGUCACUGUUCCCCUUCUUGUAUUUCAUGAUAAGAGACUUGCAUGUUGCAAAAAGAACAGAAGAUAUUGGGUUCUAUGCUGGGUUUGUAGGUGCUUCUUUUAUGUUUGGUAGAUGUUUGACUUCAACUCUUUGGGGAAUAGCAGCAGAUCGUAUUGGGAGGAAGCCUGUUGUUGUGUUUGGCAUUCUCUCUGUGGUGAUAUUUAAUACUUUGUUUGGGCUUAGCGUCACCUAUUGGAUGGCAAUAGCUACAAGGUUUCUCCUUGGCGCUUUAAAUGGCUUACUUGGACCAAUGAAGGCUUAUGCUAUUGAAGUUUGCCGACCUGAACAUGAACCUCUAGCACUAUCACUUGUCAGCACGGCAUGGGGAAUAGGUCUCAUCAUUGGUCCUGCUCUUGGAGGCUACCUUGCACUGCCUGCAGAGAAAUACCCAAAUAUAUUUUCACCUGACUCAUUAUUUGGAAGGUUCCCGUACUUCUUACCAUGCUUGUGCACAUCAGUCUUUGCUGCCAUUGUUCUGAUAAGCUGCAUAUGGAUGCCGGAGACGUUACACAAGCAUAAAGUCAGUGAUGAUGGAAAUCAAAGUGUUGAAGCUUUGGAGGCCCAUCUGAUUGAUCCAAAAGAGGAGGUUGGACAAAGUAAUAGUUCGAAUACCAAGAAGAGCUUAUUCAAGAAUUGGCCAUUGAUGUCAUCUAUAAUUGUUUAUUGCGUCUUCUCCUUCCACGAUAUGGCUUAUACAGAGGUGUUCUCUCUAUGGGCUGAAAGUGACAGGAAGUAUGGUGGACUGAGUUUAUCAUCUGAAGAUGUAGGUCAAACACUUGCAAUUACAGGUGCCAGUCUUCUUGUGUAUCAACUAUUUAUGUACCCAUCCAUCAUUAAAGUUCUUGGACCUAUCAAAUCUUCUCAGAUCGCAGCUGUUCUGUGCAUACCUAUUCUCUUUGCCUACCCCUAUAUGACGUACCUGUCAGGACCUGGAUUAUCGAUCGUACUGAAUAUUGCAUCAGUCAUAAAAAAUAAUCUUGGUGUUACUAUCAUCACAGGCACUUUCAUCCUUCAAAACAAUGCCGUGCCUCAGAACCAAAGAGGAGCAGCAAAUGGAUUAGCCAUGACUGGAAUGUCCUUUUUCAAGGCAGUUGCCCCUGCAGGUGCCGGCAUUGUGUUCUCGUGGGCGCAGAAACGCCAGCAUGCUUUCUUCUUUCCAGGUGAUCAGAUGGUGUUCUUUCUGCUGAACAUCAUCGAGCUCCUUGGACUUGUCCUCACAUUCAGACCCUUCCUGGCCGUGCCAGAGCAGUAUGAAAGAAAUUAG